rnacentral:rRNA from 1 species
GAUGAACGCUAGCGGCAGGCCUAACACAUGCAAGUCGAGGGAGGAGCCUUCGGGCUUCGACCGGCGUACGGGUGCGUAACGCGUAUACAAUCUGCCUUUCACAUAGGGAUAGCCCGAAGAAAUUUGGAUUAAUACCUAAUGGUAUAUAGAUGUGGCAUCACCUUUAUAUUAGAGCUGAGGCGGUGAAAGAUGAGUAUGCGUUCUAUUAGCUAGUUGGAGAGGUAACGGCUCCCCAAGGCGACGAUAGAUAGGGGUUCUGAGAGGGAUAUCCCCCACACUGGUACUGAGAUACGGACCAGACUCCUACGGGAGGCAGCAGUGAGGAAUAUUGGACAAUGGUCGGAAGACUGAUCCAGCCAUGCCGCGUGCAGGAAGACGGCCUUAUGGGUUGUAAACUGCUUUUGCAGGGGAAGAAUAAGGACUACGCGUAGUUUGAUGACGGUACUCUGCGAAUAAGCAUCGGCUAACUCCGUG